GGGUGAUUAGCUCAGUUGGUUUAGAGCACUACCUUGACAGGGUAGGGGUCACUGGUUCGAAUCCAGUAUUACCCA
rnacentral:tRNA from 2 species